rnacentral:tRNA from 1 species
GCCGGUGUAGCUCAGUGGUAGAGCACUUCCUUGGUAAGGAAGAGGUCACGAGUUCAAUUCUCGUCAUUGGCU